UACGAAGGGUGCAAACGUUGCUCGGAAUCAUUGGGCGUAAAGCGCACGUAGGCGGUUCGACAAGUCGGAUGUGAAAGCCCUCGGCUUAACCAAGGAAGUGCAUCCGAAACUGUCGAGCUUGAGUAUCUAAGAGGAUCGCGGAAUUCCCGGUGUAGAGGUGAAAUUCGUAGAUAUCGGGAGGAACAUCAGUGGCGAAGGCGGCGAUCUGGGAGAAUACUGACGCUGAGGUGCGAAAGCGUGGGGAGCAAACAGG
rnacentral:rRNA from 1 species